GCGUCAGUAGUGCAGCAGGUUAGAGCACGCUCUCCUGGAUAGAAUGGACAUGUGGGCUCGAGUCCCGCCUGACACG